rnacentral:rRNA from 1 species
UACGUAGGGUGCGAGCGUUAAUCGGAAUUACUGGGCGUAAAGGGUGCGCAGGCGGUUAUAUAAGACAGAUGUGAAAUCCCCGGGCUCAACCUGGGAACUGCGUUUGUGACUGUAUGACUAGAGUACGGUAGAGAGGGGUGGAAUUCCUGGUGUAGCAGUGAAAUGCGUAGAUAUCAGGAGGAACACCGGUGGCGAAGGCGGGUCUCUGGGCCGAUAUCGACGCUGAGGAGCGAAAGCGUGGGGAGCGAACAGG